UACGUAGGGUGCAAGCGUUGUCCGGAAUUACUGGGCGUAAAGGGCUCGUAGGCGGCCAACUAAGUCGGAUGUGAAAUCCCCAGGCUCAACCUGGGAACUGCAUCCGAUACUGGAUGGCUUGAAUUCGGGAGAGGGAUGCAGAAUUCCAGGUGUAGCGGUGAAAUGCGUAGAUAUCAGGAGGAACACCGGUGGCGAAGGCGGGUCUCUGGGCAGUAACUGACGCUGAGGAGCGAAAGCGUGGGGAGCGAACAGG
rnacentral:rRNA from 1 species